rnacentral:rRNA from 1 species
UACAGAGGGUGCGAGCGUUAAUCGGAAUUACUGGGCGUAAAGGGCGCGUAGGCGGAUUAUUAAGUUAGAUGUGAAAUCCCUGGGCUUAACCUAGGAACUGCAUCUAAUACUGGUAGUCUUGAGUGCGGUAGAGGAUAGUGGAAUUUCCGGUGUAGCGGUGAAAUGCGUAGAUAUCGGAAGGAACACCAGUGGCGAAGGCGGCUAUCUGGACUGACACUGACGCUGAGGCGCGAAAGCGUGGGAGCAAACAGG